GGCAAAUCCCCAGGGGAGGUUUGCGCGCCUUCCUGGCACCCAGAGGGUUGGGGAAAGCAGCCCGCUCUGGGCGACUAAAGGGUGAGGGUUCAGGAAAGAGCUGCAGGUGAGGAGCUAAGGCCGGUGGGCGGCUGGGCUGGCCCGGUGCGCACUGGCCCCGGAGCAGACUCCUCCAGGAGCCAGGGCUGCGCUGCCCAGACAGCCCUGGCGGAGACGCGCGAGGGUGGACACGCAUGGAGGCGCCUUCACGGGCGUGGGGACUUUGAGCUGCACAAGGACAGCGAGGGUGCGAGUUGGUGGAGUUGUCGCUACCCGGCCGAGCCUCGCGCUGAGCGUCCUUGGCGGGACACGAAUGGGGGCCCAGUGGCAGGGGUCAGCCAAGUUGCCCUGUCAGGAAACGCGCGCCCACGGUCCGCGCUGUGACGCCGAGGGCCAGCUCCCCUGCUCACGCCAGUGGGGCAGGCUCUGCUGGAAGGAAAAAAAGACGCUUGUUUUCAACCAACUCGCAUACGGUUGAGUUCCAGAGUAUUUACAGCGAUGUGGGUUGCAUUGAGUUCCAAAGUUCAGAAUCUGCCUUACUGGGAGAAGAGGAAGCUCCGGUUAAAGGCGACUUCAGAUAGGAAAACUCAGGCCCGGGAUGCACUGGAGAGCCAGCCUUUCAGCAGGGCAGUGUGGAGCAAGGCCACCCAGCCAGCCCAGCCUGACGGCAGUCAGCCAAUGCUUCUUACAGGUAAGACAUCAGGAGUGAGUGUUUUUGGCCAGGAAAAUCAAUGAUGGAUGGAAGAACAGUGUUUCAAAGAGGAGGACAGAAAAGCACAGAUCUGGGGGCCCCAAAUAUCACAGUAGUGAGCAAUGGCAGCACAGGAACACAUUUGGCAUUCCACUAGGACAUAGUUCUUAGUUGACUUAAGUCUUUUAUUUUUAUUUUUUUUAUCUUUUUUUUUAACUUUUAUUUAAUGAAUAUAAAUUUCCAAAGUACAGCUUAUGGAUUACAAUGGCUUCCCCCCCAUAACGUCCCUCCCACCUGCAACCCUCCCGACUUAAGUCUUAUUACAUCUAAGAAAUGAACAAAUACAUACAAUGGUGGGGGAAUAGUAUAAUGAGGUCUUGCAAGCCCAUCACCCACCUUCGAUGAUUUUGUUAUUAAGUGAAAAUAAAACUCUGCCCUCAGCCUAUGGCUUCA
rnacentral:lncRNA from 1 species